rnacentral:rRNA from 1 species
CCUGGCUCAGAUUGAACGCUGGCGGCAUGGCUAAAACAUGCAAGUCGAACGAGAAAGCACUUCGGUGUGAGUACAGUGGCGAAAGGGCGAGGAAUAAGUACCUAACGUGCCUUCAGGUAAGGGAUAGCUCAUGGAAACGUGUGGUAAUACCUUAUAAUCUCAACAUUUCAUAUGAUUUGUUGAGCAAAGGCUUGCUGCCUGAAGAUCGGGGUACUCCCUAUCAGCUUGUUGGUAAGGUAAUGGCUUACCAAGGCUAAGACGGGUAGCGGGUGUGAGAGCAUGACCCGCCGCAUCGGGACUGAGACACUGCCCGGACUCCUACGGGAGGCUGCAGUAACGAAUAUUCCGCAAUGCGCGAAAGCGUGACGGAGCAAUGCCGCGUGUGGGAUGAAGCAUCUAGGUGUGUAAACCACUGUCAGGGUUUAGGAAACAAAUGACCAGACCCAAAGGAAGAGCCGGCUAACUCUGUGCCAGCAGCCGCGGUAAUACAGAGGGCUCAAGCGUUAAUCGGAAUCACUGGGCUUAAAGGGUCCGCAGGCGGAUCGGUAAGUAUCUUGUGAAAUACCAUAGCUCAACUAUGGAAUUGCUCGGUAAACUGCCAAUCUUGAACACAGUAGGGGCCAUCGGAACUCUAGGUGGAGCGGUGAAAUGCGUAGAUAUCUAGAGGAACGCCAAAGGCGAAGGCAGAUUGCUGGGCCGAUUCUGACGCUCAGGUACGAAAGCGUGGGUAGCGAACGGGAUUAGAUACCCCGGUAGUCCACGCCCUAAACGAUGUGCACUAGGUCGUGGUGGGUCUGACCCCUUCUCGGCCGAAGCGAAAGUGUUAAGUGCGCCGCCUGGGGAGUACGGCCGCAAGGCUAAAACUCAAAGGAAUUGACGGGGGCUCACACAAGCGGUGGAGCAUGUGGCUUAAUUCGAAGCAACGCGACCUUACCCGGGUUUGACAUGCUUGGAUGCCUCUUGGGGAUAACUCAGGUAGGCUGUCCUUCGGGGUGAAACUUGCACAGGUGUUGCAUGGCUGUCGUCAGCUCGUGCUGUGAAGUGUCGGGGUUAGUCCCUUAACGAGCGAAACCCCUAUCGCUAGUUGCCAGCGGGUAAUGUCGGGGAAUCUAGCGAGACUGCCGGCGUCAAGCCGGAGGAAGGUGGGGACGACGUCAAGUCAUCAUGGCCCUUAUGCCCGGGGUUGCACACGUGCUACAAUGGCGCGCACAGAGGGAAGCAAGACCGCGAGGUGGAGCAAACCCCAAAAAACGUGCCUCAGUUCGGAUUGGAGUCUGAAAUUCGACUCCAUGAAGUUGGAAUCGCUAGUAAUCGCGUAUCAGCUACGACGCGGUGAAUAUGUUCCUGAGCCUUGUACACACCGCCCGUCAAGUCAUGGAAGCUGGUAGCACCCGAAGUCCGCUUAGUCAACCUUCACGGGAGACGGCGGCCGACGGUGAGACUGGACUGUAACA